GUAUAGCCAAGAUAAUCACAGAAAUAAUGUAGUUCAGGAGACAACAAUCUUUUAAAAUUUUAAUGAUAAAAAAAGGCUCUUCUGGCUGGGGUAAGGUACGGGGGAGGUCUGAAGUGGUGGUAGGUGUGUAGGGAGAGGAGUGGGAUGAACCAUCAGGACUGGGGUCUCAUCUCAGUGUUUUGGAGCAUCAACUUCAUAAACACUGUGAACUGUGGCCCACCAUGGACUGUCAACCAUGUCCUGCAGACUACAGAAAACAAGCCAGUCAAGGAACCCAUGGUCUUAUGCUAACAUUCUCCAAGAUUACAAGUAUGAGAGGGAAGGUGACUUUGUAUUGCCCUUGAAGUAAAAAGUGAUGUCAUAAUAUGAUUCUCACUCCUAUAACAAUCUAACUUGGAAUAUCAAACAAAACCUUAAGUACUGUUUCAGUCAAGGUCCAGUCAGGAGAGAGAAAUCACACGGACCUUUGCACCUGCUGUUCCUUAUGCCUGGACCUCUGCAUUGCUGGCUUCUUCCAGCCUCUGCCCAUAUGUUACCCACCCAAAUAGGCCUUUAUUGGCCACUCCAGUUUUGCUGCCCUUUAUACAGAUGCUUACAAGGAACAACUUUAUAAGCAUAUUAAAGGGACUUUCCUUGAGUGGGUGGAACUCAGAUGAUUAGUGCAAUCGUGAUUCUGGUGUGCAGAAAGAGAAUAUGUUAUCUCCCCUGCAUCUUGGGAACUGUGGAUCCUUCAUCAGUGACCUGGAAUGGUUGCUAAGUGUGAUGCAGAAUGGGUUUCAAACCUAGUGAAGCUUGCACUAUUCAUCAGUUUUGGAAUACACUGAAGAAAGAUAAGAAGUGCAUUUUCUCUCAAACUGAGUCUGAAACUAUUCCUUAUAAUGGUACAGCCUUGGCCAGAAUCUGCCAAAGAAGAAAUGGUCAGUAAUUUCCUAUUUUAUCUGCAAGGUGAAGAGCAGAUUAAGGGACCUGAUGUUCAUUUUAGAAACCCAGAAAUUUAUUUUUAAAAAAUUUCCCAUUUUAUCAAAUGAAAAGUGCUCAACCAACUGGACUUCAAAUUUAAGAUGAGAGACGGCACAAAAGAAGAAUGCGCGUUCUAUAUGCACGAUUCUUUGCAGCCCUCUGACGAAGUACCUCAAAAGCUAAGCUCCCAUCAAUCCUGGAGAGAUAGGAUCGGCAGAGCACAGUGGUGGGAUGAAUGUUUUAAAAGGAACAGCAGCGACCAAAGAACUUUUUUAUGCAGAGAAAUCCCAAAUCUGGGGCAAAGACCUCCUGUUCAUUUUAUCUCACAAAAGUUUGAAGAAGGAGAAAUUUAAACAAUUGCCUGAGACACAGGGAUGGGAACCACUUGCAAGUAUGGAAGAACCCCGUUGGUAGGCCUGGACUGUUAACUGGAUGAGAAGUAAACUUCUAGCUUGUUAAGCAAGGAAACAAACAAGAAAAACAUAAAUAAAGUUGCAAGUACUGUCUGUUCCUUAAGGAAUAUAUUAGUUCUCUAUUGCUCAUAACCAAUUACACCAAAAUGUAAUAGCUGAAAUCUACAAACGGGUAUUAUCUCAGAAUUUCUUUGAAUCAGGAAUUUCAAGAGCAGCUUAACUGGGUACCUUUCACUCAAGAUCUCUCAGGAGGGUGCAGUCAAGCUGUUCGCUGGGGCUGCAGUUAUCUCAAGACUCAACUGAGGCUGUUGGCUCGAGAGUCUCAGUUCCUCUUGUGCUGUUGGACAGAAGGCCUGAGCUCCUCAUCACACCAUGUGGUUCUAUCUGUAGGGCUGCUCACAG
rnacentral:lncRNA from 1 species